CCAUCUGUUUAUGUUUCGUGUCUUUUGGCUAUGAAAACUAGGAUUGCAACCUAGAUUAAUAUGUACCUCAUGGUCGGGCAUAUAGGACUCUGAAGACGAGUUUGCCGAUUCAUGUAGAUCUCUUUCUCCCAGAAGCAAUACUUCAUCUAAAAGACACAGAGCUACCCACUCUUAUGACUUAACAAGGUUUUAUCUCUCAACUCUUAUGACCUUUUUAGAGUUAUUAUGACUAUAAGAGAUUUUGUUGUGAAUGUUUAUUCAAUGGUUUGGAAGAGAAAGAGAUCUUAGUUUGAGGCUUUUGCUGGAAACCAGAGGCGAAGGAGCAGAAUCAAUGAGAAAAUGAAAGAUCUUCAACUUCUCGAUUUCUAAUUCGAAGAAGACGGACAAAGCUUCCAUUCUUGACGAAACAAUUGAGUACGUCAAACAGCUUCAACUUCUAAUACAAAUGCUUUGUUCUCCGAAUAAGAUGAGCCCAUCAUAUAUCUGCGUACCAAUGGGAAACCCAUGCUUUCAGGUGCCCCAGAUGUGCAUGAACAUGGGAUCCCAAUGGAAUAAUUGGUGCAUGACCGUGCACCAGGGAGUUCAAGCAGAACCAGGACUAUGGUCUAAUGAAGGAAACAAAGUGUGUUUUCAUACAGUAGGUCUGCCAAUGUGUUGUAGAUGCUUUCUGCUCCAAAUAUGAUGAACCCAUCACAUAUCUGCGUACCAAUGGGAAUCCCAUGCUUUCAGGUGCCCCAGAUGUGCAUGAACACGAAGAUGGGAUCCCAAUGGAGUAAUGGGUGCAUGACCGUGCACCAGGGAGUUCAAGCACAACCAGGACUAUGGUUUAAUGAAGGAAACAAAGAGUGUUUUCAUAGAGUAGGUCUGCCAAUGUUUACCAAGGUUUCACAACGCAUUAAUGUAUGACAUGCAGGUAGCGUUAAUACUUCACCGCUCCAGUCUCUUGAAGCAACUCAUAUUCGCUAGCCCUAGCCUGUGUGCUUUCAGAAACUUUAUCAUAUUCGAUUGUAGUAGCAAUAAGCUCUUCCAAGCAGCUCUUGAAGAUCAAAAUAGGAGCAACAGAAAUGUAAAUAUUUCAAUGAUUUGUUCAUGAUGUUGGACAGAGGGAGGAGAAACAACUAAUAACAAUCAUAGUUUAUAUUGCUCAGGAUAACAUUACAUCUAACAGACUUUUGACAGAGGUUCAGCUCUUCAUACAAGCACUUUGACUGAGCUUCUCCUCAUACUCAUGAACUCACUACAAUCUUACAUCAAUCUUACACUAGACUUCU